rnacentral:lncRNA from 1 species
AAUUACUCAGCUAAUUAUAAAUUAAAAUUAAAUUUUUAUAGCAAAUACAAUUAAAGAAAAAGAAAAUUAAUUAAUUAGUUUUGGUGAAGCAAAAAUUGUAUUUAAAUUUAGUAAAAAUGUAAGGAAUUGAAGAACUGAGUUUUUCUAAAUUCGGCAGGAGAAGCUUUGUAAACAACUGGUUACUG